rnacentral:rRNA from 1 species
AAACUUCGCAAUGCGCGAAAGCGUGACGAGGCUAGUCCGAGUGCUCCCUGCUAAAGGGGGCUUUUCUCGGCUGUAAAUAGGCCGGGGAAUAAGGGGAGGGCAAGUCUGGUGUCAGCCGCCGCGGUAAUACCAGCUCCUCGAGUGGUCGGGACGAUUAUUGGGCCUAAAGCACCCGUAGCCGGUUCCGUAAGUCCUCUGUUAAAUCCAGUCGCUCAACGGCUGGUCUGCAGAGGAUACUGCGGGACUAGGAGGCGGGAGAGGCGGACGGUACUCCGCGUGUAGGGGUAAAAUCCUUUGAUCCGCGGAAGACCACCAGUGGCGAAGGCGGUCCGCCAGAACGCGCUCGACGGUGAGGGGUGAAAGCUGGGGGAGCGAACCGG